rnacentral:pre_miRNA from 1 species
AGUAGAAUUGCUGGGUCAUAUGGCAACUCUAUGUUUAACUUUUCAAGGAACUGCCAAACUGUUUUCCAAAAUAACUGAACCAUUUUAAAUUCCCAUAAGCAAU